AUCCUCUCUUCUGCAGUAUGUACACCAAAAUGGGAACAAUAUAGAGAAGAUUAGCCUGACACUUACUCAAGGCUGGCAUGCAAAAUUGUGAAGCAUUCUAUCUUUUU